rnacentral:rRNA from 1 species
UACGGAGGGUGCAAGCGUUACUCGGAAUUACUGGGCGUAAAGCGCGCGUAGGCGGCUUACUAAGUCUGAUGUGAAAGCCCUGGACUCAAUCCAGGAAGUGCAUCCGAAACUGGCAGGCUAGAGUACUAAAGAGGGUCGCGGAAUUCCCGGUGUAGAGGUGAAAUUCGUAGAUAUCGGGAGGAACACCGGUGGCGAAGGCGGCGACCUGGGUAGAUACUGACGCUGAGGUGCGAAAGCGUGGGGAGCAAACAGG